rnacentral:lncRNA from 1 species
UGGGGAGAGGCAGUGACAAGAUCUGUGAGCCAUUUGAGACACAUCACCGUGGCAGUAAAUUCAGGAAAGCCAGAAGGUAUGUCUGGCGGGGGCAGGGGAGGACCAGUUAGAGUGUCAUCGCUGGGUGACAAAAGCAAGUGGUCUGAAGGAGGUGGCCAGGGUGGGAGGGAGGGGACGCAGAGCUGAGAAAAGCCGAGGGGGUAAGUCAGGAGGAGUAGAGAAUCCCUCCAGUGGGGUUCGAGGCCCAGGCCCGACUCUCAGUUCUUCUGAGUUGGUCUGGGGUGGUGCAGGGGGGGCGGUGAUUCUCAAAAGGCCCUGGAGGGGACCCUCGUGUGCAGCCAGGAUGGAGAACCAGUGGAGGGGAGCAGGGAGGUUCUGACUCCAAGCCUUCUGGCUUUGGGAGAGAGAACCCAGGAGGGAAGAGAAUGUUCAGAAGAGUCAGCAUCGAUAAGGGGGUCAUAAGAUAAUGUUAAUCCGAUUUGAGGUACGUGAAUUAAGAAAGAAAGAUGUCAACUGGUUCUUGCUUGUUUAAGGAAUGACUGUGAGGUCCACAGAAAACAACGGGACGUUUAUUCUGGUCAGGAGUUGGAGAACACAAGGCACCGAUCUCUUGCUUCUCAAUGAGAAUGAUUCUGUGCGACGGGGGUCGGCGGGGGGGCCCUUUGGAAAUUCUGUCGGCAAGGCGCUUUGUUUUCGGGGUGGGCACCAGGUGACGCGAAAGGCGGGUGGUGGGAGCGUGGGCUUGCGGAAUCUCGCAGAGCGAGCCACUUAGCAGGUGCUGAGGGUGGAAAGCCAGCCUUCCCUCUGUCGUCUCUGCUUCCGGGUUUCUGCUCCGCACCACGGCCCCAUGUACUCACUUUGUUUCACAGCACAUUUCUUAAUGGGCCCUGGCAGCACUGAGGCAGCCUUCGUAUUCCAUUUGUUCCUUGGAUAAUGAGCUUAGCCUCCGAGCCACGGGAGAAAGCCCUGAUGCUUAUUACACACACCGCCAUGGGCCAUCUGGUCAGACGUGGCACUAAAACCAUCUGAGCCCCUCGCACCCAGGCAAGGGGCCCUUGGUGACUGACAGAAAUCCAUUUUUAUCUUGGUCAGAAAGGCCUUUGGUCAGCAGAGUUCAUUUUGUUUGCACAAAGGAGUGGAACACAUCUGAGCUCCUCUGGGGGAGCCCCAGGGAGCACUUCCUGGGGGCUCCCAGACAUUGGACUCGUCGGCUGUAAUUAAGCUCAGUGGUGUCCAGGUUCACUCCUUGCACACAGGGCACAAUCUGCCUUAUUGUUUCCCCGCCUUCCCACUCAGAGACAACGGUGAGGAUGGGGCCGUGGUGAAUUCUAACGAAGCCUCAAGGAGUCAUUUGGGCUCGACGCUUUCGGUCUGGCGCGGGCAGAACCCCCACAGCCGGGAUGAUUCUGUCUGGCUCCCCCCCCACAAAGGUCUGGACAUCAAGGCUGUUAUUUUCCAUCUGGAGUCCUGGGAAUUGGGUUGUUAUUGCUGAAGACAAAAGAAUGGGUUUCUACAGUGAUCACCGGGGAGAACAACGGACCAGAGAGAAACCCUAGACGUUUCCAGAAAGGUAGGCAGUGGGUAUCCCGGCAGUGUGUAAUCUGAAUGCGAAACGUCUCUGCCAACUACUUGGGAACCUCUUGGGGUGGGUGGACCAUCCCUGAGCACAUCUCUGCCAGGCAUUCAGUCGACCUGGGAGGGCAGGAAGGCCCACUUAGCCUUCAGGAUUCGGGAGAAAAAGCCCUUAUCCUUCAGGGGUCUCCGUGACACCGAGUCAGUGAGGAUGUCUAGCCACAAACUUCCAGAAUAAAGUCAGUCCAGUUCAAAUAAAAUUGUUGAGGACCUACUGGUGCCGGGUGGGGGUGGGUGGUGGGGACAGAGAAGCUGUCGUGCAGUCACUGACACCAACAGUCGGUCGUGCAGUCACUGACACCAACAGUCCUAGACUGAGCUCUGGCUGCAUACCAGUCAUUGCACUGGUCCAAAGACGGACGACGUGGUUCCUGCCCGCCAGGUGCCCUCCCAUCGGGGCAGGUAGACAGAGCUCCCAGACAGAGCCACAGAGUGAGGGACACCGUCCCAGCCGUUGUGAGAGAGAUACCAGAAAAUGUGUGAAAGAAACCCACAAGACACGGGAAUUGCUUCUCGGUGAAGAAACCAGGGAAGGCUGGAGAGAGGAGGAGUCUGGAUUUGAACCAGGCACUUGACCAAGCUUCUCUUCUCCGUCCGGUCAGCGGUAGCAAGAGGUGAUACGUUCACGGCAUCCGCCACGUUCUGGGAGCUGUUUCAAGAGCUUUACGCAUGUUAGUUCAUUUAGUCCCCACAACAGCCCUUUGAAGUUUUCUCUAUUAUUAUCUCUAUGUUACAGAGGAGGGAUCUGAGGCACCAAGAAGUUUACUAACCUCCCCCGAGACUACCGCGCUCAUAAGCGACCGAGCCGGGAUUUGGUCCUAGGAAGACUGGCUUCGGACAUCAGUAUAGUUCCGUAGAUUUCUUUCUGGUUGAACAAGCC